rnacentral:rRNA from 1 species
AACGAACGCUGGCGGCAUGCCUAACACAUGCAAGUCGAACGAGACCUUCGGGUCUAGUGGCGCACGGGUGCGUAACGCGUGGGAAUCUGCCCUUCGGUUGGGAAUAACUGAGAGAAAUUUCAGCUAAUACAUUAUAAUGUCUUCGGACCAAAGAUUUGUCGCCGAGGGAUGAGCCCGCGUAGGAUUAGGUAGUUGGGGGGGUAAUGGCCUACCAAGCCGACGAUCCUUAGCUGGUCUGAGAGGAUGAUCAGCCACACUGGGACUGAGACACGGCCCAGACUCCUACGGGAUGCAGCAGUGGGGAAUAUUGGACAAUGGGCGAAAGCCUGAUCCAGCAAUGCCGCGUGAGUGAUGAAGGCCUUAGGGUUGUAAAGCUCUUUUACCCGGGAUGAUAAUGACAGUACCGGGAGAAUAAGCUCCGGCUAACUCCGUG